AGACGAUGUUCCCGUGCCGGCUGCAGCUGGUGGUCACGGGGUUCCCAUUCCACCCCAAGAGAAUAAGAUGGAAGAUCGUGUAUUUCUGAACCAACCCCGUUCCGAAACAGCACCUCCUUCAGGCCGCUAAGAAAGCUCAAUAUUCUGGUGUCUCAUGAGAGAGCUGAGCUUCCCUUUUAGGAGGCUAUACGUGGAGGGCUUAACUGCACUAUCGAGAGGCCACAGCACAAGGACAACAAUCCUGGGGCUCCAGUGCCUGGAGUCCAAUCUCCCCAGGCACAGAAGACACUCCCCUUCCAGAACUUACCACCCGCCCUAGGAACUCUGAGAGACACCUGG
rnacentral:lncRNA from 1 species